rnacentral:rRNA from 1 species
AGAGUUUGAUCAUGGCUCAGAAUCAACGCUGGCGGCGUGCCUCAGACAUGCAAGUCGAACGAUUAAGACUUCCUUCGGGAAGUGCAUAAAGUGGCGCACGGGUGAGUAACACGUAAGUAAUCUGCCCUCGAGUGGGGAAUAACGUCCGGAAACGGACGCUAAUACCGCAUAACGCAGCGGCACCUAAUGGUGACAGUUGUUAAAGGAGCAAUCCGCUUGAGGAGGAGCUUGCGGCAGAUUAGCUAGUUGGUAAGGUAAUGGCUUACCAAGGCUACGAUCUGUAACCGGUCUAAGAGGACGGUCGGUCACACUGACACUGAAUAACGGGUCAGACUCCUACGGGAGGCAGCAGUCGGGAAUUUUGGGCAAUGGGCGAAAGCCUGACCCAGCAACGCCGCGUGAAGGAUGAAGUAUUUCGGUAUGUAAACUUCGAAAGAAUGGGAAGAAACAAAUGACGGUACCAUUUAUAAGGUCCGGCUAACUACGUGCCAGCAGCCGCGGUAAUACGUAGGGACCAAGCGUUGUUCGGAUUUACUGGGCGUAAAGGGCGCGUAGGCGGCAAUUCAAGUCAUCUGUGAAAUCUCCGGGCUUAACUCGGAACGGUCAGAUGAUACUGCUUUGCUAGAGUGCGGAAGGGGCAAUCGGAAUUCUUGGUGUAGCGGUGAAAUGCGUAGAUAUCAAGAGGAACACCUGAGGUGAAGACGGGUUGCUGGGCCGACACUGACGCUGAGUGCGCGAAAGCCAGGGGAGCAAACGGGAUUAGAUACCCCGGUAGUCCUGGCCUUAAACGAUGAAUACUUGGUGUCUGGAGUCUUUAAAGCUCCGGGUGCCGUCGCUAACGUUUUUAGUAUUCCGCCUGGGGAGUACGCUCGCAAGAGUGAAACUCAAAGGAAUUGACGGGGACCCGCACAAGCGGUGGAGCAUGUG